CUACGGGGCGCUGCAGCAAGGAAUAUUGGGCAAUGGGCGAAAGCCUGACCCAGCGACGCCGUGUGGGGGAAGAAGGCCUUCGGGUUGUAAAUCCCUUUUCUAUGGGAAGAAUAAUGACGGUACCUUAGGAAUAAGUCUCGGCUAACUACGUGCCAGCAGCCGCGGUAAUACGUAGGAGGCGAGCGUUAUCCGGAUUUACUGGGCGUAAAGAGGGUGUAGGCGGCCUUUCAAGUCGGGUGUGAAAUCUCCCAGCUCAACUGGGAGGGGACAUUCGAUACUGUUGGGCUAGAGGACAGCAGAGGGAAGCGGAACUCCCGGUGUAGUGGUGGAAUGCGUAGAUAUCGGGAGGAACACCAGUGGCGAAGGCGGCUUCCUGGGCUGCCCCUGACGCUGAGAUCCGACGGCGUGGGGAGCAAACAGGAUUAGAUACCCCAGUAGUC
rnacentral:rRNA from 1 species